rnacentral:misc_RNA from 1 species
UGCAUGUACGUCCUCGUGAAACAACGCAAGUGCACUGCCAGAUAAAUUGGAGCCUGUGUGAGGAUGAAAAAGUGAAGAGAAGAAAAAACGUUGCGCGCAUUCAUAGCCAUGUUUGCAUACAUAUAUCAUAAGCAAACCGGAGUCGUUGAAAUUGAGCCCAUCGGAUAUCAAUAAAGGGGCGUCCCUACGAAACCAGGAAAACAGGAGCUAGCUACCGGCAUCCAAAUGUGAAAAUCGAACUUCUCGGCGAUAAGUCAGGGAUCAGAUUUUUGGAGCAAUUUUUCGUGGACAUCGCAUGUCCUGACGAAGGAGCCAUAUGACACGAGUGUAGAAUAUUGCAAUCAUCUGAUAGGUAAAGAGAACCAGGAAAAAAAGAACGAGGGUAUGGCUGCAGGAAAUCAAGUGACUCCAGAGUCUGAGGCUGGGAGUUUCGAGUGUUUUCAGAAUUACACUGCACCCGAGGUCUUUGUACAAGGUCUGGCGGGGAUUGUCGACCAACAAGAUGUUGAGUCCAUGAUACGUGCCCAGAAAGAAAUGUUGCAGAGAUUUGAAAAAACCAAUGAAAUGUUGACAAACUGCAAUCAGCUGUCUAUUAAUCGAUUAAAAACUUCUGGUGCAGAAAUCAAGAAGCACACAGCACUUUUGACCGAUAUGAAAAAAGAUUUGGAUUUCAUCUUUAAAAAAAUCAGAGUCCUUAAAACUAAAUUGAGUCAACAGCAUCCACAAGCUUACAAUGAAGCAGUCAGAAGUAGCCUAGCAGAAGAAGUUAUCGUUGAUGAGGUUGAGCAAAGACCUAAAUCUGCAGAAUCAGAAGUUCCCCCCCAGCCACAAAGUAGCAGUUCAGUUGUAGCUGAAGAUAAAACAGAUGUGAUGCCUGAAUUUGAUGAUGCAAACAAAGAGGCUCAAUUCGCUGACAUCAACGAGCGUCUGAUUAUGAAAAAAGAUAGUUCAUCAACUGAAACAGAAAUUGACCUAACGAAACCAGGUACAUCGUCAGGUUCUUCUGACACUAGCUAGUCCAUGUACAUCGAAUUUUUAUCGAGAAAACAGAUCUACCGUUAAAGUUAAGAGCUAUACCAUUAAUCCUCGAUAGAGUGAGCCUAGCCAAAGUCGGUUCCAA